UAUUAAAGGCAAACGCUGCCCAGUGAAUAAUUAAACGGMCGCGGUAUCCUAACCGUGCAAAGGUAGCAUAAUCAUUUGUCUAUUAAUUGUAGACCUGUAUGAAAGGCAAAAUGAGAGCCCAACUGUCUCUUAUAACAAAUCAAUUAAACUGAUCUUCUAGUCCAAAAGCUAGAAUAUUUACAUAAGACCAGAAGACCCUGUGAAGCUUUAACUAACCUAUUAAACCUAAUAAUAACUACUUUCGGUUGGGGCGACCUUGGAAUAAAAAAGAACUUCCAAUCAAGACCCAGUAUUACUGAUAAUUGAAAUAAGUUACUCCAGGGAUAACAGCGCUAUCUUCUUCUAGAGCCCAUAUCAAAAAGAAGGUUUACGACCUCGAUGUUGGAUCAGGACAUCCCAGUAAUGCAACCGUUACUAAAGUUCCGUUUGUUCAACGAUUAAU
rnacentral:rRNA from 1 species